rnacentral:rRNA from 1 species
CGGAGGAUCCAAGCGUUAUCCGGAUUUAUUGGGUUUAAAGGGUGCGUAGGUGGGAUAAUAAGUCAGAGGUGAAAGCUAGCAGCUUAACUGUUAAAUUGCCUUUGAUACUGUUAUUCUUGAGUAUAGUUGGCGUUGGCGGAAUGUGACAUGUAGCGGUGAAAUGCGUAGAUAUGUCACAGAACACCGAUCGCGAAGGCAGCUAACGAAACUAUCACUGACACUGAUGCACGAAAGCGUGGGGAGCAAACAGGAUUAGAUACCCAGGUAGUCCACGCCGUAAACGAUGAUAACUCGACGUUGGCAAUAUACUGUUCAGCGUCCAAGCGAAAGCGUUAAGUUAUCCACCUGGGGAGUACGAUCGCAAGGUUG